GGGGAAUAUUGGACAAUGGGCGCAAGCCUGAUCCAGCAAUGCCGCGUGGGUGAAGAAGGUUUUCGGAUUGUAAAGCCCUUUCGGCGGGGACGAUGAUGACGGUACCCGCAGAAGAAGCUCCGGCUAACUUCGUGCCAGCAGCCGCGGUAAUACGAAGGGGGCUAGCGUUGCUCGGAAUGACUGGGCGUAAAGGGCGCGUAGGCGGUUGGUACAGUCAGAUGUGAAAUGCCUGGGCUGAACCUGGGGGCUGCAUGUGAUGCGUGCUGGCUUGAGUGGGGAAGAGGGUCGUGGAAUUCCCAGUGUAGAGGUGAAAUUCGUAGAUAUUGGGAAGAACACCGGUGGCGAAGGCGGCGACCUAGUCCUUGACUGACGCUGAGGCGCGAAAGCGUGGGGAGCAAAC
rnacentral:rRNA from 1 species